CCUGCCCCUACAGGCGUUGCAAGCGUGGCUGCCAUGUGCCACGUUUGUGUCAUUAGGUGGCAGAGAGGAACUGGCUAUGUCUACGCUCUGUGUUCCACAGCCGUGAGCACUCAGAAUGAUUAGUAGCCAGACAGG